rnacentral:ncRNA from 1 species
AUCGUAGUAAUUCUAGAGCUAAUACGUGCAACAAAUCUCGACUUCUAGAAGGGAUGCAUUUAUUAGAUAAAAGGUCGACACAGGCUCUGCCUGUUGCUUUGAUGAUUUAUGAUAACUCGUCGAAUCGAACGGCCUUCGUGCCGGCAACGCAUCAUUCAAAUUUCUGCCCUAUCAACUUUCAAUGGUAGGAUAGUGGCCUACCAUGGUGGUGA